rnacentral:rRNA from 1 species
CCUACGGGAGACAGCAGUGGGGAAUAUUGCACAAUGGGGGAAACCCUGAUGCAGCGACGCCGCGUGAGUGAAGAAGUAAUUCGUUAUGUAAAGCUCUAUCAGCAGGGAAGAAAAUGACGGUACCUGAGUAAGAAGCCCCGGCUAACUACGGUCCAGCAGCCGCGGUAAUACGUAGGGGGCAAGCGUUAUCCGGAUUUACUGGGGGUAAAGGGAGCGUAGACGGCAGUGCAAGUCUGGAGUGAAAGGCGGGGGCGCAACCCCCGGACUGCUCUGGAAACUGUACGGCUGGAGUGCAGGGGAGGUAAGCGGAAUUCCUAGUGUAGCGGUGAAAUGCGUAGAUAUUAGGAGGAACACCAGUGGCGAAGGCGGCUUACUGGACUGUAACUGACGUUGAGGCUCGAAAGCGUGGGGAGCAAACAGGAUUAGAUACCCCAGUAGUC